AUAUUUUCAUAUGUCUAUGGUUGCACAUGGUGUGAUGGUGGAAGCGUAGGUGUCUGAAUUUCUAGUUUUUUCUAGGUGUUUAGGUUUUUCAAUAACUUCUGCUGAUGAGAUGCAGUAACAGGAGAAGAUAGAAAUUAACAGCCUGCUCUCGACUGACGGUUGUGCGCGAAUUCGCGAGAGACAAAAAACAAAGAGAGGGGAGAAGGAGACAAACCGUUUGGAAGGUGUCCCCUUUGCUGUACCAUACACACACACACACGCACAUUCAAAGUGUCAGAAACAAUUAUUCAACUAAUGAUAAUUUCUCUUUUUAUAUAACUAUUACAGCUAUGCUAUUAUCAUUGCAUUUAUUAAUAAUUAAUUACAUACGCUGUAAUUUUUAUAGAAUUUAAGUUAUGUUUUCUAUCCAGUACGUACAUUAACAUCCCUACUGCAUUCGAAAUUUACACGCGUUUAUUUGUUGACACGCGUGUAGUUGUAUACUUGUAUCAAGUACUUGUGUAAAUUUCGAAUGCGAUAAGGAUGUUAAUGUACAUACAUGCUGAAUAGAAAAUAUAACUUAAAUUCUAUAAAAAUUGCAGCAUAUGUGAUUAAUUAUUAAUAAAUGCAACGAAAGAGACAAAUUACUA